UUAUCGUUCCUGAAUAGGUGGCGCCGUGGUAGCGGAUCCUGUUCCUCUUCUUCCGGUUUCUGCACUGUGCAACUAUUUCAGUUAUAUUUUUAAGCAGUUAAGCUGCUUUAUGCGAGCACCCUAGAUUUGUGUUCUACCCAAUAAAUGCUGAAAUAUGUGCCAUUGUUAUUAUCUGGCUGGCUAUUAUGUUAUUUAUAACUAAUUGAACACUUUUUUCAUACUUUUAAUUCUGGAAUACAAAAAAUAUGACCAGAAAAACCUUAAAUGAUCGUCGAACCACCCAAAAGUUUAGAAGUUGCACAUAGGAAGUAGUGCUCAAUAGAAAUCCUUAUGUAGUUUAUUAUCCCCUGUGCUUUUGGCCAAGAUGUCAAAGAACAAUUGCAUGAAUUAUUUCAUCGCCGAAAAUCUCUAAUUACAAGUCGUUUACAGUUGCCAAAUGGCACAAAGCGCAGGAAUAUUGUAUAACGGCUGUGACUAAUAUGACACGGAGUUGAAGUCUCAGUUGGCGGUAAUUUUAACUUCGUCGACAAAACGUAAAUCAAGGACGUUUUAAAUUUGGUGAUUUCUGAUAAUAAUCAUUUUGUUCAACCGCUAGCUUUAUACCGAAAAUCGCCAACAUGUUAUGUGUAAAUCCGAGUAAAUCGUAUCUGACUGACAAAAACAACAUUGAAAAACAAUGGAUGCCAUAAACCGGAAAUGAAGACAAUUAUAAUACCGGAUCUAAUUCCGGGGGCGGAUUAGGGUAAUUCCGGGUUUGCCGAUCAAAUACAAUAAAAAUAUAAUAAUUCCAGGCAUGAGACAAAAUACAUCUAUCAUGAUGAAAUAUAAACUCUAGAAUUGAAAACCAAAGAUAUAUUGAAAAGAAAGAAAAAGCAGGAAAUAUUUUAUACAGAAACUCAAAUUUUCAUGUCAAAAACCAAUAAAAUGUGACAGUAUUUUCCUUAUCAUUAAUAAAUAUUGAUAUUACAUGUAGAUGUUUUUAUUGUUUAAACAUAUUACUUCAAUUCCAUGAGGUAAUUUCUUCUCAAUUUUGAAGGGCCUAUAAAAAUCUGGAAGUUUCUUACUUUAUUUUUACAGAGGAACUAGCUAAUAUAAUAUAUAGUGCAACUAGAUAUGAUACACUUAAACAGUUUUGAAUUUGAACUGUUUAAUAUAAUGGUAUAAUUAGUAAUAAAUAAUCAAUUGUUGAGACAACACACCCACCCACAGUGAUACCCUCAGCCUCCCUCAGCCUUCCUAAUACAAAAAAAAAAGAUUAUUUGAAUUCAUAAAUUAAUAUACAAGACAAUUACAUUUAUUAUUAAACAUGUUAAACGACAGUGAGUGACACUGACAAUGAAACAAGUUAACUUAACACCAAAAGCACAUUAAAGUAUCUUACUGAGUUAUGAACUAUUUCAAGUAAAAGCAGGACCUGGAAUUUAGGUUGUGGACCUUUCAGUUUGGAGUGUCAAAGGUCCUGGACUGUCCAGUACCAAAUGUUAAUUUUAACCCCUGCAUUCACAGUAAAGCGAUUUUGACGUGUAUUGCAAUUCCAAGUAGAAUUCACUUUUGGACAUUAAACGUUUCGAAUGCGUAUUAAACUAAUUCAAAUCAGUUAAUAAUGUGAAUCGAAUUCGAAUUAUGUGUGAACACAGUAUUGAUAUAUAUAAGAAAUGAAGAAUAUUAAAAAAAGAUGGACAAAAUAUUUGUAUUAAAUUUGUUGCAAUUUUUGUCUUGCCUUGACAGAGUCAAAAAGUGAGACAUAUAUAUAUAUAUAUAGGCAUGCUGUUUUGGCGGAAUCAACAAUGUAUUAGUUUGUGAUUUUGUGAUAAGGUCUGGUUUCUGGUAGGUCAAUGACAUUUUGUAAGUAGUUGUGUUAGCAUAGGCACAUCUCAUUACCAUAGAGAAUAUUUGGCCCCACCCCCUUAGUCAUGGUCUAUUGACUUUGAAACUUUGCAUAGUUUACAUGUAUAUGUUUGUGAUUAGGUCAGUUUAGGGGGAACCACUAGUGGUAGGUCAAUGAUAUUUGGUGUGCAGUUGUAUAAACUUUUUCAUUUUAAUUUUCAUUGAGAUCAUUUGGCCCGCCCCCUCAAUCAUGCUCUUUUUACUUGGAAACUUAUGUUACUUUGAAAUUUCAUUUAUUAGUUUUCGAUUAGGUUAGUAUUAGGGAAACCAAUAGUGGUAGGUCAAUGAUAAUUGGCAUGUAGGUGUAGAAGCAUUAGUACGUCUCAUUUCCAUAGUCGAUAUUUGGUCCUCACCCCUCAGUCAUAUGCAUGAUCUAUUGACUUUGAAACUUUUACUUAGUUUACAUGAAUGAGUUUGUGAUUAUUAUGAUUAUGUCAGUUUAAAAUUACCAGUAAUCUUAAGUCAAAGCUAUUUGGUAUGCGAACGUAUUGGUAUUCAAAAGUUUCAUUUCCAUGGAUAUUAUAUAACCCCACCCCCUCAUUAUGGUUCAUUGACUUAGAAAUUGAAUUUGUGUUAAGGUUUUUUUAAAGGGAACGACUUAUGAAAAGUCAAUGGUAUUUGGUUUGCAGUUGAACAAGCAUUGGCACCUUUCAUUUCCAUAGAGAUUGUUUAGCCUUGUACCUUCAGUCAUGGUUCAUUGACUUUGAAUAUCACUUACAUGUUAAAGUAUUACUAUUUUAAGUGUAACAUUUGCAUUAUCAAAAUAACAAAUAGGCAAAACAUUACGUUGUGUUAAUAGCUUAUUAUAGAUUAGACAUGUAGAGGGUCUACAAAAAUCUCUUGAUAUUUUACAUGAAUAUUGUUCAUCAUGGAAACUACAAGUUAAUACUGAUAAAUCAAAAAUUAUGAUAUUUAAUUCUAAUGGCAAGACAUUGUUAAACCAUUUUACCUAUGAUAAUGCAUAUCUUGAAACGGUUACAAAUUAUUGUUACUUGGGUAUUGUUUUAAAGUAUAAUGGCAAUUUUUGCCUUGCUGUGAAUACUCUAUUGGAAAAAGCCAGGAAGGCAUACUAUAAGAUAAAGAAAACUAUAGGUCUCAACAACCCAUGUAGACUUCUUGAAAAAUUGUUUGAUUGUUUAGUUACUCCCAUUCUUACAUAUUGUAGUGAAAUUUGGGGGGUGGAUUCACAUUUUAAAGACUCUGAUCCCUUUGAAAAACUUCAUGUUAAAUUUAUCAAAGAUAUAUUAGGGGUUCACUGUAAGGCAUCUAAUGAUGGAUGUCGAGCCGAACUUAAUAGAAUUCCCUUGAAAAAUAAAAUAUUAUAUUCAAUAUUCAACUACCUGAACCAUAUAGUUUCUUCGGAAAAUUCUUUGGCAUAUGAUAUAUUCACUAAAUCUGUAGAUUCAAACCCUUGGGUCAUAAAGGUCAAGAGUCUUUUGAAUGGACUUGGAAUGUCUUAUAUCAUCAAUAACUUUAAUUAUGUUAAAGGUAAUUUAAAUUCUAUUAAACAAAGAAUUAAUGACCAAUGUUUGCAAGUUCAAAAUGCAAAUAUAUUUGAAUCAAAAAAGUUAGACUUUUUCAAGAGUGUCUACAUAAUGGGCAGAAGACCACCCUAUGUUGAUAUAUUGAAAAACAGAAGUGACAGAGCUGCAAUAUGUAAGAUCCGUAUAAGCGCUCAUAUACUGAUGAUUGAAAGAGGGAGACAUCUAAAUAUUCCCAGAAAUGAAAGAUACUGCUCUGUAUGUAAUUCUGGUCAAAUUGAAAAUGAAAAACAUUUUCUUUUACAUUGUGAAAAAUACUCAACUAAAAGGGCCAUAUUUUACCAAAAAGUUUCAAAUAUAAUCGUUGAUCCUACAAAAUUUCAAAAAAAUUAAAAUAAUGUAAUCUUUUUAUUAAAUAAUAAUUCAUACACAAUCCUAAAAUUGACUUCCUCUUUCAUUUCAGACAGUCUGAAUCUGCAUAAAGCAGAACAAACUCUAUAAAAUUGUCAAUAUGUCUAAUUCAUAAUUAUUGUUUAUAAUAUUACAUAUUAAUAUUAUAGUCAUUAUUUGCAAUACUUAUUAUGUAUGAUCAACUAUGUAAUUAAUAUACCAUGAGCCUUAACCAUUUAUUUUUGAUGAGUUUGUGCUAAUAAAAUAUUUGUAUUUUUUUUUGUAAUUAUUAUAAAAAUAAGGAGAUGUGGUAUGAUUGCCAAUGAGACAACUAUCCACCAAAAUUCAAAUGAAGUGGAUGUAAGCAAUUACAGGCAACCGUACAGCCUUCAAAAAUAUAUGUUGCAUCAUUGCUAGGCCAUUAUAACAACAUCAACAUUUCUUGUAAUACUAGUAUACAAGAAAAUUACACCAUUUCAGAUAGUUUCAGGUAUGAUUUGAUAAUUGUGUAUAGUGGCACCAGCUGAUCCAACUAAAAGCGCUAAUAUGGCAUAUUCAAACUCUAGUACAUAGUGGAAUUAAACCAUACACCACUGUUGGACACCAUAAUUGAAAUUAUUAUUCUGAAAAGAAUAUUCCUCCAUGCAGCCUGCAACAAUUAGCAAAACCUAUACUGCAUAGUAAGAUAUAAACGACCACGAAAUGACAAAUGUAAAACAAUAAAACUAAAGCAGCCUGAUUUAUGUACAAAACAAUUAUGAAAAAUAAAUAUGAUAUACAGCAACAAUCAACAAUCACCAAAUUAUUGGGUCCUCACUAUGGACAGGUACAUACAGAAUGUGGCGGGUUAAACAUGUUAGCUGGCACAAAACUCUCCCCUAACAUGGGACAGUGUAUGUGCAUAAUCUCAGACAUUAAAUCUUUAAAAAAUAAAUUGGAAAUAACUUUUGAAAGUGGUAGGAUUGGAUAGCAGAAACAUUACGGUACAAACAUUAUUUGAUACUUGAGAAAUAGCUGAGAUAUAUAGAUUCUACCACUGCAUCGAGUGUGAUACGAUAUUUAUCCACUCGAGACAGUUAAAUUUUCAAAUUUAACUGUCGAGAGUGGAUAAAUAUCGUAUUACACGAGAUUUGGUGGUGGAAUCUGUUUCUCUAAUGAUUUUCAAACAAUAUGCAGGCAAACUUAUUCCGUCUUUUCGAAUGAUCUGUAAAAAGAUGUGUUCUUUCUAUGUGACGUCAUCAGGCAUGGUCGCCUUUUUUUAUGCCGUCACAAUAGGAAAUUCAGAGAAAAGCAAGUAAAUUCGACGUCAUAAUCGGAUUUUAACCAAUGAAGAACUGAGAUCAAACGAACCACACGCUGAUUAAAUUUUUUGUAUACAAUGGGUGCAGAAAGGGAUAAAUUGACGAAGAAUUAGAGAAAAAUAUUUUCAUCCAUUCUUCCGCUAUAUUCAUCUUAACUUCUGCCAAGUUUACCUUUGAUUUUUUUAAUUAACUGCCUAUAGCGCCUUUGGUGCUUUGAUUAAUUAACGAUGCCAAGUAAUUGUUGUUGUGUACCUGGAUGUCAUUUAAGAGGAGGACAUGCAUUUCCAAAUGACUUAAAAAGAAGGAAAAGUUGGAUCAACGCCAUGGCCCAUACGCAGAUUGGACGAGAACACGAUGAUAUCGUGGAGUCCAUCUCAAUCAGCUGUUGUUUGCAAGGCACGUUUUACUGAAAAAGACUACGUGCAGGAAACUAUUCAUGGGCGCAAACCCACCAUACAGAGACUUAAGUCUACUGCAAUUCCCAGCCUAUUUUCCUGGACCAAGCAAGAGACUGAAUCGUCCGCAAAAAGAAGAAUCAGGGCAGUUUCCUGUGAAAACAAAAGAACUAAACUUGAUGAAUAUUGUAGUAGAAAUCUAGAGGAAAGUUUUGAUUGUAAAGUUGGUUUUCCUGAAGAAGUCAUUCAUACUGCAGAAAGGAUUUAUGACUGUCCACCACCAACUGCCGAGCUAAUGUUGAGCUUCACAGAUGGAAUUACGCAAACACCAUCAAUGCCUAUGUUUUCAGCAGAGAAUUUUGAAAUGAAGACACGUGACACAGCCAUGCAUUUUUAUACCGGUUUAGAGUUGUAUACUAAAUUUUUAUUUGUUUUGACCACACUUGGUCCAGCAGCACAUUGUUUGAGAUACAUAUAUUUUCAAAUUGAUAGGGUGUCAGUUGAAAAUCAGUUUUUUUAUGACUUUGAUGAAAUUGAGGCAUCAUACAACCAACUUUGAACUGUCUAGAUUCUAGAUUGAAUCUAGUGUUAAGAAUAUUAUGUAUACAUGGAUUAUUUUUAUGUCUAAACAGUGGUGUGAGGCUAACACUUGGCCAUCUAGUGGUUUAGUCAGGUAUUUUUCACCAUCCAACUUCAAAUUAAAGUUUCCUACGACUUGGAUUAUUAUUGACAGCACAGAAUAUCCCGUGAUAAAACCUAAAGCUCCUAGAGCUCAGGCAACCUUUUCAUCAAAUAAAAACAGAAACACUGAAAAUUCUUGAAUGUUCGACACCUGGUGGUUUAGUCAACUAUGUCUCUAUGUCACAUAGAGCGAAUUAUUGGACUUGGCAAAACAUACAAAAUUCUAAUAAAUCCUAUGAAUGAAACUGAAACAAAACUUUCAUCUGAAAUAACAUUUAGUUGUUGUAUGUUGUGUAAUUUUAGAACUUGUAUUGUGCCAAAGGAUGCAUAAAUAAAAAUGACGCAAUGAA